rnacentral:lncRNA from 12 species
CAUUAUUUGUUUCUGGCCUGGCCCCUGGGGGCGUCUGAGUUUGUCACCUCCUUGAGUAUAGGACUGUGGGACACUGGAGGGAGGCAUGCAAUUGUGUUGGCCCAUGGCUCAGUGAGAGGCCUAGUCUUGGGAGGGUUUUCUCAUCUUGCCUGGAUUAAGAUGACUCACAGGGCCAGUAUGGGUCUCUGGCAGAGCCAGCUUUCCUUUCCUACUUUGUUUUUAUAAAACAGAAAUAGAAGUUUCCAUAACGUGGUACAACUCCACCCAGCACUGGCAGGCCUUGGGAAGUCACCGCUGUUUGUGAGUGUCCAAGGGAGAGCUUUGGUUGGGAGCCUGCUAUUUGCUCAUGGGUUCACAGAGCCUCACAGAGCAGGACAGCAUGUGCUCAUCUCUACUGUAGGCUCUGUCUGAAUGCAGGUACCCUCCACUGGGUCCUCCUUCAGGAAAGAUGAUCAAUGCAAUGGAUUCCUCAGGCCACAAGACAGAUGCUGAGUACCGAAGUAAAUGGUGUCUCUUGCCCCUCACCUCUCAGGACAUCAGGAUCUUGGAACCUCACAAGAUGGAAGGGGAGACUUUGACCCUAACCAAACAGUCACAUACAUGAUUGUAAAGUUGCAUCUGGGCUA